UUGAAACACCAGUUCUCAUAUAAUCACCGAACUUAAGCAAUGUUGAACCUGGUCAGUACUUAGAUGGGUGACCGCUUUGGAAUAAC